UACGAAGGGGGCUAGCGUUGCUCGGAAUCACUGGGCGUAAAGCGCACGUAGGCGGAUUGUUAAGUCAGGGGUGAAAUCCUGGAGCUCAACUCCAGAACUGCCUUUGAUACUGGCGAUCUCGAGUCCGGGAGAGGUGAGUGGAACUGCGAGUGUAGAGGUGAAAUUCGUAGAUAUUCGGAAGGAACACCAGUGGCGAAGGCGGCUCACUGGUCCGGUACUGACGCUGAGGUGCGAAAGCGUGGGGAG
rnacentral:rRNA from 1 species